rnacentral:rRNA from 1 species
ACGGAAGGUCCGGGCGUUAUCCGGAUUUAUUGGGUUUAAAGGGAGCGCAGGCCGCAGGUUAAGCGUGUUGUGAAAUGCAGGGGCCCAACCUCUGCACUGCAGCGCGAACUGGUCUGCUUGAGUGCGCGCAACGUCAGCGGAAUUUGUCGUGUAGCGGUGAAAUGCUUAGAUAUGACGAAGAACUCCGAUUGCGAAGGCAGCUGACGGGAGCGCAACUGACGCUGAGGCUCGAAAGUGCGGGUAUCGAACAGG